UGUCUACCUUACAUCACUAGACAGGCUUGGCUUUGAACGUUGAAUGCAGAGCUCUGUCACUCUUUUAGAUCUUCAGUGUCACCUGGAAUUUGAGGAAUGCUCUUGUUCCUCAACGUUGCCACAAAACAUCCAAAUGACCAAUAUUAGGCUGCAUGAGGCUCGUACUCACCAGCCGAAACAGAAGAUGACAAAAUAGAUGCCAAAAAUGGUGGCAACCACGUGCCGGACAUCAGAGCUGGUUUUACCAGGACAUUUCCACAUCAAGAUGCUUCUCAGGCUUGGCUUUGUUCUUUCUCCCCAGUAGACUGUUUGGAGGAGGAAAUGAAUAUAACAGAGCAAGAUAACGAUACCCUUGUGUGGUAUAAAAAGUGGCAAACUCAACAGUUUCUUGUCUAACCUUUAAGCCUAGCCAAGGUUGAUUUCCCACCCACAAGCAGGGGGUUCCUCAUGGAAACAGCCUAAGCUAACUGUGAGCUCUGUUUACUGGGUCUCUUUUCUCACUCCCAGUAGGACUCUAAGACAAAGAAGGUAUUCUUUUAGAGAUGCAAAGUUUAACAGAAGAGCUCCCUUAUUUGGUACCUAGCAAAUCAAACUGUUCUCCAAAGGGAUCACCAGUUGUUUUCUGACUCUAAGAAUGACUCACAUUCCCUAAGACAGGUACUAAACCCAUCGUUCUGCUCUAGCAAAAUCCAGAACUUCCAUCAAUGUCUCAUUCUAAAUUGGCAUCCAAUAAACAAGAGUAUUCCUCAAAUUCCAGGUGACACUGAAGAUCUAAAAGUGUGACAGAGCUCUGCAUUCAACGUCCAAAGCCAAGCCUGUCUAGUGAUGCAAGGUAGACACCAAAUUUCCUUAGAAAAACCUCAGUGGUCUACCUUUUGAGAAUAUUGUGCCUAAAACAUUUGAAAAUGUCCUGAAAUCUACAGAAAAGGUCAGCUGAUUCUAAAAAACAAAAAACAAACAUG